rnacentral:lncRNA from 1 species
AGACCAAAUCCCAUGGAGAUCAAUUGAUUACUUCUUCUGCUCUCUCACUGGGAAAUGAGCGGGAAUUCCACCAAGCAACUGUGCAACAUCAGGCCCAAGGGAAUGAAGGAAACAACGACCAGCGGAAGAGGAGAAGCAACUCGCUGUGUGUAAAUUACGGACUAUGAUGCAUGCACGUGCACACGCAUCACACAUACAUGCACACACCAGCACACGCUGCAUUGACUUGUCUGCCUGGGCCGUCAAAGGCCCCCUGGGGUUAGGAGGACAAGAGGGAACCAUGGGCAGGGUACUCAG